UUUGUGUGUGUAAUUUUCGGUCAUCUGUUGCUCUGAUAUAAAAAUACAAUUAUAUUUGUAAUUAAUUAUAUUAAUAAAUAAAUUAUAUUAUAAAUGUAUAACUACCGGGCGUAUACGCGGCGACACCGAAACAAAUAAAAAAAAAAAAAAUGUAUAAUCGAAACAUAUCAAUAAAUAACCCCAACUAUACAUUAUAUGGAAAAAGUGUUUAAUUAAAUAUUAUAUAUUAUUAAAUAUUCAAAAUAUAUUAAUUAAUGUUGUUAAACGAGAAUAUUUUAGGAAAAGAAAAAGAUAUUACAAUAAUUACCGGGUCCACGAUAAUAAUUGAUUAUUGUUACUGUGACACUCGCGUACCCACGCCAUGCGAUAUAAUUAUUAUUAUUAUUGUAUCGGCGGGGGCUAAUGUGUUUCAAUGAACACGUGUUAAAAAAAAAAAAAAAAAAAAAAAAAAAGAUUUCAUUAGGAAAAAGUAAAUCGCAUGUAUCGCAUGUGGUGUGGUCGGUGAAAUAAUUGUAUCGAUUUUUCGUAAGUUUGUUUGUAUAAUAUUAUAUACUUAUAUAUAAUUAUUAUAUUGAAUGUAUUCGAUGUAGUGGAUUUUCUAUAGCCGUUACUGUGCGUAAUUUUACAUUAUGUAAUUAUAAUAAUUAAUUAUUUGAUUAACAGUACACGUUUUGUUAAACGGAAUUUUUGUCGUUACUUUUACCGAACAUUAUUUUGUAAUGUAAUAUUAUGUUUUUUCGCUUGCGUUAUUUAUGGUGUUUAUUA